AAAGUCAAAGCAAAGUGUUACCAUAUAGGUGUUUCUGUUUCAAGAGAUGUAAGUACAAAAGAGCAGAAACGUUUUUUUUGUGUGUGUGUGUGCAAAGGAAUAUUCAAAUUGCAUAUUUUUUAAGUGCAAAUGAAUAUGUGGAAGAGUUCUGUUUUCAGCAGUUUUUUUUAAUAAUUAAUUAAUACAAAUAAAAAAAAACAAAUAAAAAAAAAACACGUCUAAUAACACAGCUAUGCCUGAACUUUGAUAUUUACUUUUCCAUAUCUGUCAAACAACCUUUAUUGUGGACAAGGUCCAGUUCUGCUUUCAGCCACAUCCUGGGGAUUUGGGUGGAGUAACAGCCAGUGUCCUUGUGAAAAUGCCGCCAACCAAACGAAAAACUGAAGGACAGAAGGACAUCAGGUCCUUUUUUGAAAAGGAAAGUAACCAUCCUGGUAGCAGCACUGAGACCAGUACAGGCACUUCACAGCCAGGUGGAGCUGCAGCCUCUGAGACCUUCACAGGCUGUCAAGCUAGAGUGAAGGAAGAGAAUGACGGCGAUUCUGUGGUCAGUAGACUUACACACACAAACCUAGACACUUCACACCCAAAACUGUUUGUUUAUAAUAACAAGGGCCUUUAACUUAUAUUAUCUCCCUCUGAAUUCCUGCAGGAAGAACAUUUGCAUCGUUUCAUAGUGAAGUUCAGUCGCACCGAUCGUAAGGAAUACAAUAUUUCCUGUGAUCAACCUCGCACAGUGCUGGAGGUGAUAAAGU
rnacentral:lncRNA from 1 species